rnacentral:rRNA from 1 species
UACAGAGGUCCCAAGCGUUGUUCGGAUUCACUGGGCGUAAAGGGUGCGUAGGCGGUCGGGUAAGUCUGAUGUGAAAUCUCACAGCUUAACUGUGAAACUGCAUUGGAUACUAUCCGGCUAGAGGAAUGGAGGGGAGACUGGAAUACUUGGUGUAGCAGUGAAAUGCGUAGAUAUCAAGUGGAACACCAGUGGCGAAGGCGAGUCUCUGGACAUUUCCUGACGCUGAGGCACGAAAGCCAGGGGAGUAAACGGG